GUGCUUGCUUCAGCAGCACAUAUACUAAAGUUGGAGUGAUACAAAGAAGAGUAGCAUGGCCCCUGUGCAAAAAUGACAUGGAAGUUUGUAAAGUUUUCCUUAUCUGG